AAAAAAGAGUGUACAGGUUUUUAAAGGGUCGGCAAGGCGCAUGUAAUAUCCCUGUAUUGCAGGCGUUCAUAGGCUACGGUGACCGCUUACCAUCCGGCGGGCCGUAUGCAUGUUUGCCACCGACGUGGCAUAUACUAAUUGACCAACAUAUUAGUCAGCGUUUCCCAAAGUCACGUUACGUAAGAUGUCGAGUGUCUGGCGCGCGUCCAACGCGGCGUCCGAGGUCGGCCGAAGGUAAACAAACACACGUCAC